UACAGAGGUGGCAAGCGUUGUUCGGAAUUACUGGGCGUAAAGGGCGCGUAGGCGGUUCGUUAAGUCCUGUGUGAAAUCCCCCGGCUCAACUGGGGAACUGCACAGGAAACUAGCGGGCUUGAGUUCGGGAGAGGGAAGCGGAAUUCCGGGUGUAGUGGUGAAAUGCGCAGAUAUCAGGAAGAACACCCGUGGCGAAGGCGGCUCUCUGGGACGGUACUGACGCUGAGACGCGAAAGCGUGGGGAGCGAACAGG
rnacentral:rRNA from 1 species